UCCUUUGCGUUCGGGCCCGAGGCUCCCUAUAUUGGCCUUGCCGGAAACGGCUAUGGCGAUAAAUGGCUAUCGUAAUAAACCCAUCGGACCCGGGGGCGGUACCCGGCGCCUCCACCAUCAUUUCUCCCGCGUUGGCGGGGAUGCAUGGGGGCGAAAUAGGAUCGACGAGGGCGUAAAGGGUGUGUUUUCGCUCGGCAUGAUACCACCGUUAUCGGGUCAAACCUUAUAGUUGCCAACGACAACUAUGCUCCGAAGGCGAUCGCUGCGUAAUGCGGCGCAAGCCUUGGAAAUCAAAGCCCUGAUCCUCUAGCAGGGAUUAGGCGGGGUUCGCAGGCACCUGGCAACAGAAGCCUGCACU
rnacentral:tmRNA from 1 species